rnacentral:rRNA from 1 species
CGUAGGGUGCGAGCGUUAAUCGGAAUUACUGGGCGUAAAGCGUGCGCAGGCGGCGCCGCAAGUCAGGCGUGAAAUCCCCGAGCUUAACUUGGGAAUGGCGCUUGAAACUACGGUGCUGGAGUAUGGCAGAGGGAGGUGGAAUUCCACGUGUAGCGGUGAAAUGCGUAGAGAUGUGGAGGAACACCGAUGGCGAAGGCAGCCUCCUGGGCCAACACUGACGCUCAUGCACGAAAGCGUGGGGAGCAAACAGGAUUAGAUACCCUGGUAGUCCACGCCCUAAACGAUGAUGACUAGUUGUUGGGGGAGUUAAAUCCCUUAGUAACGCAGCUAACGCGUGAAGUCAUCCGCCUGGGGAGUACGGUCGCAAGAUUA